UUUACAGCAGGAGCAUGUAUCAACAGAAGGAGCAGGGAAGGCAGGAAAGGGAAGGGGGGAAGGACUGGCACAAGUUCUAUCUGCGUUUCUACUGUAGGAAAGGGACAGAGUGUAAAAUGAACUUCCAGGCAGUAAGUUUAACCGUGCACUCCCGGCCUGUCCUUUAGAAAGGGAAAAGGACAGUUUUGACUCCCUGUCAGCUUAAGAAAGAACCAUAUUUUUCUCAAACUUCCAUGAAUAAUUUUGUUAUUUACUAAACAAAUACUGAAAACCCAAGGAUCUUAACCUGCAGAUCAAGAUGAUGCGGAAAUCAGCCAUUUGCCUUAUGUGCAAUUCCUCUGAAGACAGAAAAUUUAUAGCUAAAAAUAAAGAUCCAAUUUAACUGUUUAAUAAUAGUUAUAAUGUGAUUAAGUAUUUAAGAUUCCAAACAGUUCCAAGUGCUUGGUAAUAAUUUAUUUCUACCACCUAAAGAACCAAACAAGUCAGCUGUUCAAAAGUGAUUUGCAUGCAUUGCGCAGGAUUGCAUUAAUUCAGCAGUCCAUUCCAGUUCGUUUCAAAUCCUGCCUGAGAUUGCUCGCUCCCAAAAUACCUACCAAAAGAGAAGAUGCAGCUGUGCAAAUUUAGACAAUUCUGAGUUUUAAGGGAAACAUAAAAAAUAACCAAGCCAUGUUAGAAUGGUUCCAAGCAAAUAUGAUUUAGUAACGAAAAACUGGCCAAAUACUUGGAGCACAAAUCAAAACAAACUAGAACAAUCCUCUUAUGAUCGGAUACACGAUUUAGCAGAAAAAAAAGUGAAUCUUGUGAAUCUAUACAGUCCUUCAGAACAAACUAAUGAAGUAAUAUUGGGUGUCUCACUUUGAAAGCCUGUGUGAGACUGCUAACCCAUUUGUAAUGCAUUUACUUCUGAAAACUUACCCUUCCAGUUCACUUUUAAGCAGUAUAAAGCUAAUUGUUCUAGAAUGCAGCAGCUCUCAGAAGUGGAAAAAAUGCAGACACAGGAACAUUGAGCAGAGUCUGACAAUGCAUCUCAACAUUAAAAAUGUAUAGCAGUCAAUUCAGUUGAAGUCAUUAAUUAUACACAACUAUUUCUAAUUCAAAUCAUGAGCAUCUAAUUUAUGUAUUUAAUAAAAACUCCCCCUUUUGCCCCCUCUACUGAAGUGCCUUGUCUCUAUGCAGGUAAAUCUGUAUUUUUAAUUUUCGUUUUGACUGACGAACAAGUUAUUAACACCAUGGGAGGGAAGACAGAAAAGAUCACGCUGUCAGCCUCCAGUACUACUGUAGAGUGUACUUGGACUUCUGGAAACAGGGAUGCGUUUCAUACACAGCACUGGCCAGCAGGCUGACUUCAAGAAACAUCUCAACUUUCAUUUAGGACUGCAAGGACUUCAAAGAUAAAAACAAACCACUGGAGAAAAGAGCAAGCCCAUGAUGAUCAUGAGAUAAGGAACAUUAGAGUCCAGAAAGUCAAAAUCUGCACAACAUCUGAUGACUUCUCAUGAUUUGAAGCCACUUGAUGGUAGGACCAAUGAAAGAAAGUUUUCAGUGUUUGGACUGAAGUUGGCAAGCAUGUAUUUCCAUAUGCUAGUUAGCUACUAAACACAUUUUGAGAAGACUUACAAAGUAGGAGAAUACAACAUCUUUUUAAAAUGACUUCUGGAAACUGCAGUAAAUUGGAGACAAAGACAGAACUU